rnacentral:rRNA from 1 species
UGGAUGUUCUGGGCCGCACGCGCGCUACACUGACAGGGCCAGCGAGUACAUCACCUUGGCCGAGAGGUCUGGGUAAUCUUGUUAAACCCUGUCGUGCUGGGGAUAGAGCAUUGCAAUUAUUGCUCUUCAACGAGGAAUGCCUAGUAGGCACGAGUCAUCAGCUCGUGCCGAUUACGUCCCUGCCCUUUGUACACACCG